GGACACGCUGCCCCCGCUUCCCGCAGCACGGGGACUGUCGAACGCGCUUCAAAUUCACUUGCCCUCUUCAGCAAAGCCGUCCUCUUAAUUUUCUUUCUUUAUUUCAUAAACAGCAAUAAUCCUAUUGCCUCGCUCAGGGCGUUAUGUGCAAUAUAAUAUACGGCCACGUGUAGCCCAGCCUCCAGCUAUGCUCCAUUAUGAAGUGACAGGGGACUGGUUCCUCUGGGAAUCGAAGCAGAAACGUUUUGCAGAGGGCCGUGGCCUCAAAACCCAGAAGUUCUGGUCCAAACACGGAGAGUUGGAGGCCGAGGAGGUGAAGGGUGGAAGUUUGAUGUGAUUUGGGUGGCAUCUGCCAGGCCGCCUGGACGGGAGCUCUUUGAGGAGCAUCGUCCAGCAAGGGCAGGGAUUUCUGAUCCGUUUCUUUAGGUUUUGGCAGAUUUUUUAGCACCAGUAAGUGGUUUAAAGGAGUUCCCUUCAUUCUCAGUUAUCGUGGAGGGGUUUUGAUGCUGCGAUGUGCUUUGCUAGCCUUCUGCUUUCCUGCCUGCGUCCCCCUGCUCUUCCAUAAGCUUAGGGCCGCCUGCGGAGCUCGUAGCACAAAAUCCAGUUGCACUUUACGUUUUAGCAUCCCUCGGGGUGGGAAGCGAUUCCCUCCAGGUUUCAUUUUGGAAGCUUUGUGCUUCUGGUGGCGCUGCCAGCGAUGCCUCCCCGAGACAGCAGCAAAACAAAAGCACGCCUUGUUCCCAGCCGCCGCCGCUCACCCCGCGCUCCCCCGGUUUGUUGUGCUUGGUUUUUUCUUUCAAUGAGCUCGCAGAUUACAAUUCUCACUCCUCUUCCUUCUGUAAAAGAAGCCGAGAGCUGUCGGAUUGCUGUCCAAACACGCUGUGCUGGGUGCAGUUGUGUUUUCGAGCGAGGCCUCAGAAGCUCAGGAAAUUUUGCAGGGCCCUCAGCGCGCCACGAGCCCGCACGUAGCGGGGCUUGGCGUGAAGAUUUAAUUAGGGUGAGACGACGUCGUCAGAUAAACGCCAGGCCUGAAAGAAUGGAGGUGUCAGAGAAGGCCUGGGGAGAGCCGAGCGAGGGCUCUGGGAGGCAGUGA
rnacentral:lncRNA from 1 species